GUUUUUUCAGGUAGAUGAAUCUGAGGGCAGGAAGAUAAUAAAAGCAAAAUUAAAAGGCAUCCAACCCAACAAAUACAAUACCCCAAAACUUGUGGUCAAGAUAGUGACAAAAUCAACGAAAUCAACUUCCAAGAGCAAUAAGAAAACUACAAAAAAAUCUACAACCAAAUCUGGCGGCGCAGCCACAACCCAAGCCGCUGCUGCCGGUGAUACGACCGUUGCGGCUGCAGCCGGUGGAGACACAGCAGCUGUAACCGACUACCCUGCGUAGCUACUUUAGGACAGCAAGAAGUGCAACCAUGGCAUUUCAUGUCUUUGCAAUUAUAGCACAAUAAAUCACACGUGGCGAAGAAAAA